AUUGAACGCUGGCGGCAGGCUUAACACAUGCAAGUCGAGCGGGGUGAUGGUGCUUGCACUAUCGCUUAGCGGCGGACGGGUGAGUAAUGCUUAGGAAUCUGCCUAUUAGUGGGGGACAAGAUCUCGAAAGGGAUGCUAAUACCGCAUACGUCCUACGGAAGAAAGCAGGGGAUCACUGGUGACCUUGCGCUAAUAGAUGAGCCUAAGUCGGAUUAGCUAGUUGGUGGGGUAAAGGCCUACCAAGGCGACGAUCUGUAGCGGGUCUGAGAGGAUGAUCCGCCACACUGGGACUGAGACACGGCCCAGACUCCUACGGGAGGCAGCAGUGGGGAAUAUUGGACAAUGGGGGGAACCCUGAUCCAGCCAUGCCGCGUGUGUGAAGAAGGCCUUAUGGUUGUAAAGCACUUUAAGCGAGGAGGAGGCUCUUUUGGUUAAUACCCAAGAUGAGUGGACGUUACUCGCAGAAUAAGCACCGGCUAACUCUGUGCCAGCCGCCGCAGUAA
rnacentral:rRNA from 1 species